AAGUUAUGCAAGGAUGGAAGACUUCGAAAAAUGACGAAUAACAAUCGUGUGCAUAUAAUAUGUCCAAAUGGCAAGACUGAGUAGAAUACUUGGGAUAUCUUAAAGGUACAAACACUUCUAGAAGUCUUUAUGAAGGUGAAGAAGUUUUAAAUGCUGGUCACAUAAUAAAAAUGUUACAUGUUAUUUGCAUGACUAAUAAACUUUAGUUGAAAGGUUUUUUUA